rnacentral:rRNA from 1 species
UAUACAGCGAAACUGCGAAUGGCUCAUUAUAUAAGUUAUCGUUUAUUUGAUAGUGCCUUACUACUUGGAUAACCGUGGUAAUUCUAGAGCUAAUACAUGCUAAAAACCCCGACUUCGGAAGGGGUGUAUUUAUUAGAUACAAAACUAAUGCCCUUCGGGGCUCUUUGGUGAUUCAUGAUAACUAUACGAAUCGCACGGCCUUGCGCCGGCGAUGGUUCAUUCAAAUUUCUUCCCUAUCAACUUUCGAUGUUUGGGUAUUGGCCAAACAUGGUCGCAACGGGUAACGGAGGGUUAGGGCUCGACCCCGGAGAAGGAGCCUGAGAAACGGCUACUACAUCCAAGGAAGGCAGCAGGCGCGCAAAUUACCCAAUCCCGACUCGGGGAGGUAGUGACAAUAAAUACUGAUACAGGGCCCUUUCGGGCCUUGUAAUUGGAAUGAGUACAAUUUAAAUCCCUUAACGAGGAACAAUUGGAGGGCAAGUCUGGUGCCAGCAGCCGCGGUAAUUCCAGCUCCAAUAGCGUAUAU